rnacentral:pre_miRNA from 1 species
CGGGGUUAAGUCUGGCAGCGACGGGAACAUACGCAAGCAGUGCGACGUCUUCAACUGAUGACGAGAGGGAUCGAGAAAUGCAUAUUCCACCGGGAUUGCUACGCUGUCUGAAGUCUGAACUAGUGUACGCGCAUGCGUCAAAGGUGCAUGUGUACACGAAAUGUGUAUCUGUGGCACAGAGAUUCGU